rnacentral:rRNA from 1 species
AAACCAGCACCUCAAGUGGUCAGGAUGAUUAUUGGGCCUAAAGCAUCCGUAGCCUGCUCUGUAAGUUUUCGGUUAAAUCUGUACGCUUAACGUACAGGCUGCCGGAAAUACUGCAGAGCUAGGGAGUGUGAGAGGUAGACGGUACUCGGGAGGAAGUGGUAAAAUGCUUUGAUCUCUCGAUGACCACCUGUGGCGAAGGCGGUCUACCAGAACACGUCCGACGGUGAGGGAUGAAAGCUGGGGGAGCAAACCGGAUUAGAAACCCGAGUAGUCC